AACGAACGCUGGCGGCAUGCCUAACACAUGCAAGUCGAACGAUCCCUUCGGGGUUAGUGGCGCACGGGUGCGUAACGCGUGGGAACCUGCCCUUAGGUUCGGAAUAACUCAGAGAAAUUUGAGCUAAUACCGGAUAAUGUCUUCGGACCAAAGAUUUAUCGCCUUUGGAUGGGCCCGCGUUGGAUUAGCUAGUUGGUGGGGUAAAGGCCUACCAAGGCGACGAUCCAUAGCUGGUCUGAGAGGAUGAUCAGCCACACUGGGACUGAGACACGGCCCAGACUCCUACGGGAAGCAGCAGUGGGGAAUAUUGGACAAUGGGCGAAAGCCUGAUCCAGCAAUGCCGCGUGAGUGAUGAAGGCCUUAGGGUUGUAAAGCUCUUUUACCCGGGAUGAUAAUGACAGUACCGGGAGAAUAAGCCCCGGCUAACUCCGUG
rnacentral:rRNA from 1 species